rnacentral:rRNA from 1 species
GGGGAAUAUUGCACAAUGGGCGGAAGCCUGAUGCAGCAACGCCGCGUGAGGGAUGACGGCCUUCGGGUUGUAAACCUCUUUUAGCAGGGAAGAAGCUUUCGGGUGACGGUACCUGCAGAAAAAGCACCGGCUAACUACGUGCCAGCAGCCGCGGUAAUACGUAGGGUGCAAGCGUUAUCCGGAAUUAUUGGGCGUAAAGAGCUCGUAGGCGGUUUGUCGCGUCUGCUGUGAAAUUCCGAGGCUCAACCUCGGGCUUGCAGUGGGUACGGGCAGACUAGAGUGCGGUAGGGGAGAUUGGAAUUCCUGGUGUAGCGGUGGAAUGCGCAGAUAUCAGGAGGAACACCGAUGGCGAAGGCAGAUCUCUGGGCCGUAACUGACGCUGAGGAGCGAAAGGGUGGGGAGCAAAC